AAGAACCUGAAACCGUGUACGUACAAGCAGUGGGAGCACAGGUUUACCUGUGUGACUGCGUACCUUUUGUAUAAUGGGUCAGCGACUUAUAUUCUGUAGCAAGGUUAACCGUAUAGGGGAGCCGUAGGGAAACCGAGUCUUAACCGGGCGUUAAGUUGCAGGGUAUAGACCCGAAACCCGGUGAUCUAGCCAUGGGCAGGUUGAAGGUUGGGUAACACUAACUGGAGGACCGAACCGACUAAUGUUGAAAAAUUAGCGGAUGACCUGUGGCUGGGGGUGAAAGGCCAAUCAAACCGGGAGAUAGCUGGUUCUCCCCGAAAGCUAUUUAGGUAGCGCCUCGUGAAUUCAUCUCCGGGGGUAGAGCACUGUUUCGGCUAGGGGGCCAUCCCGGCUUACCAACCCGAUGCAAACUGCGAAUACCGGAGAAUGUUAUCACGGGAGACACACGGCGGGUGCUAACGUCCGUCGUGAAGAGGGAAACAACCCAGACCGCCAGCUAAGGUCCCAAAGUCAUGGUUAAGUGGGAAACGAUGUGGGAAGGCCCAGACAGCCAGGAUGUUGGCUUAGAAGCAGCCAUCAUUUAAAGAAAGCGUAAUAGCUCACUGGUCGAGUCGGCCUGCGCGGAAGAUGUAACGGGGCUAAACCAUGCACCGAAGCUGCGGCAGCGACGCUGAUGCGU
rnacentral:rRNA from 1 species